AUUGAACGCUGGCGGCAGGCCUAACACAUGCAAGUCGAGCGGAGCGGCGGACGGGUGAGUAAUGCCUAGGCAUCUGACUGGUAGUGGGGGAUAACGUCCGUAAACGGGCGCUAAUACCGCAUACUAUCAGAUGAGCCUAGGUGGGAUUAGCUAGUUGGUGGGGUAAAGGCAUACCAAGGCGCCGAUCCGUAACUGGUCUGAGAGGAUGAUCAGUCACAAUGUAACUGCGAAACGUUCCAGAUUCCUACGGGAGGCAGCAGUGGGGAAGAUUGGACAAUGGGCGAAAGCCUGAUCCAGCCAUGCCGCUUGUGUGAAGAAGGUCUUCGGAUUGUAAAGCACUUUAAGCUGGGAGGCGUUACCCACAGAAUAAGCACCGGCUAACUUCGUGCCAGCCGCCGCGGUAAUAC
rnacentral:rRNA from 1 species